ACAGACUAUAGGCAAUCAAUUAUGGAUUUCAAAACUAUGAACUUCACACGGGCGGAUAUAAGCUCUUCUUUUCCACAGCUUUUGUGGAUCCCGUGUGCACUAGACAUGUGGCCAUGACAUGUGGAUUGAGGGAGCGUGCCAGGGUCAUUAUGUCAAAACAGAAACUCAGAGACAUUAAGCUACUUGUUCCAGGUUGCAGAUCGGGUAAGUGAAGAGCUGAGAAUGACAUGCUGGUCUUCUCACCCCAAAGCUCAUGGUCUGCUACCUCCACAAUUGUCUACACUGCAAGAACAAGCCUCUUGUUACACAGGCUGGUCAGUCAUUCCCAAAGACCUUUUAGUGGAAUCCCUCUCCUCCUCUGGAUGUAUCCAUACCAAUUUGGAACAACUGUGAUUUUGUUGUGAUAAUUGAAAAGGAUUUGAUGAUUCUGUAUAUUAUGUUGGUACAAGCAGGCUUUACCUGUAAGAAACAUCUGUUCUUUCUGGAUGACAACAUUAUUCUGAGAUGGAAUAAAAAUGCAGAAGA
rnacentral:lncRNA from 1 species